rnacentral:rRNA from 1 species
UACGUAGGGUGCGAGCGUUGCCCGGAUUUAUUGGGCGUAAAGGGCGCGUAGGCGGCUCUGCACGUCCGUUGUGAAAUCGCCCGGCUCAACUGGGCGGGGUCAGCGGAUACGGCAGAGCUCGAGCAAGCUAGGGGGCAAUGGAAUUCCCGGUGUAGUGGUGGAAUGCGUAGAUAUCGGGAGGAACACCAGUGGCGAAGGCGGCGACCUGGGCCAAUAUUGACGCUGAGGUGCGAAAGCGUGGGGAGCAAACAGG